rnacentral:rRNA from 1 species
UACAGAGGGUGCGAGCGUUGUUCGGAAUUACUGGGCGUAAAGCGCGCGCAGGCGGCCCUUUAAGUCUGCCGGUCAAAUGCCGGGGCUCAACCCCGAGCUCGCCGGAGAUACUGGAGGGCUGGAGACACGUAGAGGCAAGCGGAAUUCAGGGUGUAGCGGUGGAAUGCGUAGAGAUCCGGAAGAACACCGGAGGCGAAGGCGGCUUGCUGGGCGUGAUCUGACGCUGAGGCGCGAAAGCGUGGGGAGCGAACAGG